CUUUUCACAUAGUUUGCCCUCAGAGGCAAAGAAAAACAUAGUUUGCAGUUACCUCGGUUAUUGAUAAGAAUUGCUGCUCUUCACAAAUUUGCAUAAUGCCCGUCCGCCUAAAUGUUUCCCUGCUAAACUGAAACUACCAUUACUCUGAGACCAGCCAAGUCGGGGGUUCUGAAAGAUUUUUUCUCGGUUCACUUGACGAUGAUUUCUUUACUGCUACGUGACAAGACGUCGAAAGCCCACCAUCAUCCUACCUCAUCAUGACUACAUAGAUCAGACUACGGUCCUUUAUUUAUAGCAUUUCGACAAUCAGGCGACUGGAGUUCGGACUUCAUCGGUACCUGGCAACGGGCUGAACCCCACAUUAGAAAGGAAGGAUCAAACAGCCACACCAAUAUGAAACAG